UGAUACACGUAACUUUCCGGGGAUGCCAUCGCCAUGGAGCUUUCGAUCAUAUUGGCUGCUGCGCUGUGCUUUGCAGGAGGAAGAAGUCGGAUGCUGCCAGACCUGCUGAUUUCCUCCAGCAAUUUUUGAUUUCGUAGUAGCUGCACUUAACCGCUUUUAGAUGUAAUAUCUCUUCAAUAUGAAUUCGAUUCAUAUAUAAGGACCACCUGAAGCUUCCAGAAAAUUCUAAUUGAAUAACUUUGGAUGUGCCUCACCGCACCCCCCAACUGAAUUGAUAUGCUAACAUUAGCCAUUCCAUCUACUGACUUCAUCUAUACUUCCUGCUGCCUUGGUAAAACAACCAAUAUAAUCAAAGACUCUUCCCACACCUGUUUUACUCUCUACCACCUUCUUUCAAUCAGGCAAAAGGUAUAAAAGUUUGAAUAUACAUACAAAUAGAUUCAAGAACAGCUUCCUCCCCGCUACUGUCAGACU